rnacentral:lncRNA from 1 species
UGGAGGUUGAGGUAAUUUAGGGGUUUAUCCAUGAUUUUAGGAACUAACUCCCUCAACUCCUUCUCUUCCUUUUUUCUCCAUGUUUCCUCUCUUGUAGGAAGACUUUUAACUUGGUUCUAAGGCCCGCAAAAAUGUGAUGAAAGGCUGAACAAUCUCAUUAAUUUAGGAAAGCUUUAUGGAGUUAAAAAUUAACUCGAGUAUAUAUAAUUAAUUAAAAUGCCAAUUGAAGUUGGGUGAUAGAGAUUGCGCCGGUAUAUAAAUAUUUAAUUCCAACACGAAUUAGUUUCUUGUGAGUAGUUUGUGUGCAUUCUAUUCCUAGUAGCAAUUUUUUGGCGUAAAUAUAAGGAUCACUUCCAUUUUCGUUUAAAAUUUGGUUAAUCCCUAGGUAUAUACAUAGUGA